rnacentral:lncRNA from 1 species
UUCUCUUCUCUUCUCUUCUCUUCUCUUCUCUUCUCUUCUCUUCUUUUCUUUUCUUUUCUUUUCUUGAGGCAGAAUUUCUCUGCAUAGCUCUGGCUGUCCUGGAACUCACUCUGUGAACCAAGCUGGCCUCGAACUCACAGAGAUCCCCCUGCCUCUGCCUCCCACAUGCUAGGAAUAAAGGCGUGUACCACCACUGCCCAGCUAGCGCCGGUUUCUCCAGCCUUCGCCCCAUCCUAUGUAUUGCUUGCUAUCCCAUCUUUCUCAUCUGCUCUUUACAAUGUCUACUGUCCUGGCUUAUGUUUACAGCUUUUAUCCUUUCUACCAGCACUGAAUCCCUCAAAAUACUUUGCCUGUACCCACACUUCCUUAUAGCUCAUUGGCUAGCAUCCAAUAACACACGCACUGCUAAGCUAGUCACUGAGAAAGGGGUUUGGAAUUACCCCGAUGGCUGAGAUUAAUCACGGGUGUGAUAUGGCGGUUGGAGAGUCAACCACAACACCUGUUGGCAUCUCCUCUCUUGGGCUGCUUAACUGUUCUUUGUGCCACCCUUUCCUCACUGUAGUGCUUCCAUAUUUCAGCAUUUAUUUGUAGAGGUGCCUGCCUUUCUUCGGUCUUUUCCUGCCCUACACUUUCUCUUUUCUCUUCUUUUCUCUUCUUUUCUCUUCUUUUCUCUUCUUUUCUCUUCUCUUCUCUUCUCUUCUCUUCUCUUCUCUUCUCUUCUCUUCUCUUCUCUUCUCUUCUCCUCUUCUCUUUUUCUUUUCUUUUCUUUCCUUUUUUUGAACCAAAACUUCCUUAAUACAAAGUAUUAAAAUGCAACUGCAUUUCUAAAAUGAACCCAUAGGUACACAGUUGUAGUCAUUAAGGAAGCUAAGUUAAAAGCUUCACAAUAAAGAGAAAUGUCAUUGAGGCCACUGGAUGAAUGAAGACACUCCUGAAUUCCCCCAUGUCACUAAGCAUCAAAAUCCACUGAUUUAUUGUUAGUCCUAUUCUUGGACAUGAUUCCAUAGUCACAUUCUCUACAUCGGAUCGGAUCUCUGAAUUUUAUUUCAUUUUCCAUGUGACAUUUAUCAUUGGCUGCUGCUUUGGGGGUUGAACACCUUUCUGAGUGUCCCUUGUUAGUGCUUCCGCAGCUAGAAGAAUUGUCCCUUCUCUGUGCACCCACCCUACAUUUUUUAAGCCCAAGGGGACUGCAUUUCUUUUCAAAUGGCCCCUCAAAUCCCCCCUGCCCCCCUUCUGUCUGUUCUCAGGGGCUGAAUCUGCCUGAAACAUUGUGUAUAACUACAUUUUGCCAGAUCUCCAAAUGUUUCUCAUCUGAAAUACAUUGUAAAGUCCUAUAGGAUUUGGUAAUUUGAAAUCUUGAAGGCGCAGGCCUGCCCCAAGAACAUCUUCACUUUACCGCCAAUUGCAAGUCCAGGGAAUUUUCCAAAGUCACCUCAAGUUGACAGUUCGCCGUCGAUUGAAAAUCCUCCACUAAAAAUGACCAUGUUCAGAGUUGCAAUGUAUUUCUGAGAAUGAGUACAGAUUGCCACCCACGGAGGAGAUACACAGGGGAGCAUCUUGAGGGUUUGGGGUCCCCCACUAUCCUCUGUGAGAAUCUCUGCUUACCUGGUACAGGAGCAAUCAAUCCUCAUGGGACAGCGUGAAGCUGGAGAGGUCACAUGAGCCACAGGGUGCAGUGUUUUCUCACUAGGGGUUCACUGUGUAGACAUCGGCAUCCCUGGGCUGAUGGCUCAUGUGAUUGAACUUCAACUCCAGGUUGCCUGUUAUCAUGUCACUCAGUGUCCCACCUUAAGCCAGCUACUUUGCCUUUCUCUUCAGUGAGCAAGGGCUACACUGUUACUCUGAGGUAUGGUUGGCUCAUUCUAAAAGUCAUUGUGAUCAGGCUCUACCCAAAAAAAGUGUCACGGGAUAGGAGCCAUUCUCCCCUCCACCAACCCUGCCAAGAAGUCAAUAACAAAAGCCACAGUUUUCAUUUCGGGCAAGGCGCAUUUUUAGAUUGCAUAUUUUGACAUAAGGAUUUUGGUAGCAGAUACUAACUUGGCUACUCCGAGGGACUUAAGCAAGAUCCUGUUGAUCAUCAAAUUAAUAUUUAGAUAUUAUGGCAAAGCCACACUUAAAGAACAGUUGGCAUCUAGUGAUAUUCCACCAAAGCAUUCACCCUCAGCCUGCUUAUCUUAUGCCGGAAUAUAUCUUCACAGUGACCCCAUAAAACCCACAUCUCAAAUUAGAAUAGAUUCUUGCGCCAUCACUUUCUCUUUUCUUUCUCUUUUUUCUCUUCUUUUUCUUCCUUCCUUCUUCCUUCCUUCCUUUCUUCAUAUCUCUCUCUCUCUCUCUCUCUCUUUCUUUCUUUCUUUCUUUCUUUCUUUCUUUCUCUCUCUCUCUCUCUCUCUCUCUCUCUCUCUCUUUCUUUCUUUCUUUCUUUCUUGUAUUUUAUACAAACUGCUAAGUUUUCAUUUUGGUAGAUCUUUUUGAAUUAAAAUUGUUCACGUGUAUAGUCUGCUCCAUAAUGAUGGCGACCCCUCAAUUAUUCAAUCACUUAGGUUAUAGGAGUGUUUAAUCAUUCUCUUGGCUUUAUUUCACUAAUUGUCUCUACACCAACUUUUG